UACUUCCAUACUGAAUAGUACGCGAAAUGUGUACGCGAGAGCGGUUAGUAUGUCCGAAUACACAGUAUACACAAAGAGGUACGCGAGAGGUACCCGGAUGACCUACUUAUCGGGCAGCCAUGUUUGAGUAUGCAAGCGAUGCACACUUGCGGUCCGUUAAUGUAUCCCAUAAUGCAACUGGAGCUGCGUAGGCGUUCGAAGUGGAAUAAGAAACAAGAAAGAUAGCGGAAAACGGAGUCCUCUGUUCAUAAGUGCUUGUUCGAGAUGAACUGCGCCUCGCCUUGGUGGUCAGCGAGAGCUGCCGGUUGCAGUUGGGGGAAGAGGUUAAAAGAAAGCCGUCAAGUCGGACAGUCGCCACCUGCAACAAACGUGAGCUGUGGCGAAUCUCGCGGCGUUUGCGUUCUACGUGGCUGAUGAAGUGAAUGCAGUAGAAAUCGCUCUGCUUUUGCGUGAAAUCGAACUACACAUUCUUGAUCAUUGAGCAGGUUAAACCCAGCGUUUGUUUUUCAAAUCCAUAGUGGUGACUAUAGAUGACCAUAAAGUGUCAAACUAAGUUUCUGUAAAAUCUGUAAAUAAAUAUAGUUUUACUCAUCA